rfam:Clostridium methylpentosum DSM 5476 Scfld1 genomic scaffold, whole genome shotgun sequence.
AACUCCUUUAAGUUAGUUCAGAGAGGCUAACAAGGCGGUAGCUUAUAUUGUAAGGUUCAUCCCAUCAGAAGUGGGGUGUAUUGUGCGCAUGCGGGCGGCCAAACUGUUAGGUUCAGUUUGGCCGCUUUUGUU